CAGAGACUGCAAGCGUUAUUCGGAUUCACUGGGCGUAAAGGGUGCGCAGGCGGUCGUGUGUGUCAGGUGUGAAAUCCCGGAGCUUAACUCCGGAACUGCGCCUGAAACUACACGACUAGAGCAUUGGAGAGGGAAGUGGAAUUCAUGGUGUAGCAGUGAAAUGCGUAGAUAUCAUGAGGAACACCAGAGGCGAAGGCGACUUCCUGGACAAUUGCUGACGCUCAGGCACGAAAGCAUGGGGAGCAAAAGGGAUUAGAUACCCCUGUAGUCCAUGCCCUAAACGGUGCACACUAGGUCUUGGAGGAUUCGACCCCUUCAGGGCCCAAGCUAACGCGUUAAGUGUGCCGCCUGAGGACUACGGUCGCAAGACUA
rnacentral:rRNA from 1 species